ensembl:lncRNA
AUCUGCAUAUCUUCCAUCCAUUGGCAGUUAAAGUUUAGUCUCAAAACAGAUCUCUUUCUACAACUGACAAGAAACACAGACCCUGGGCUCCUGCCUCGAAAAUGGAGAAGAGGCCACGGUGAGGUGGGGGCUCCGUGUGACAUCUGGGCUGACCCAGCACAGGAGACGGUGUGGGCACCGGCGUUGGGAAGCUGCGAGCACGGGGCGACAGCCCGCAGCCAGAGUCAGAUCGUCUCCGCACGUCCGUGUGCGCCCGGUGAGCGCCUGCCACCUACCUGUCAGCUGCCUACAGGGAGGAUGCCGCCUCCAAAGGCCCACAGAGGCGUCGGCCGCGUCUGCUCAGGUGCUACCGCAGGACGGGCCCCAUGGUGGACUCUACUCAAUGGACACUCUGUCCCCAGGUCUGGAGGCUGGACACCCGAGGCGCAGGGACCGUCAGGUCUGCUGAGGACCCUCUUCCAGGCAUCUGCUCACCGUGGCUUCAUGUGGAGGAAGGGGCAGGGGGUCCCUGGGGCUCCUUUAGAAGGUCCCUGGUUCCCUCUGCAGGGCUCCAACCCAGGACGGCAUGACCCCUGUGGACUGACCUGCUAGGGCUUUAGCAUGUGACUCUGUGGGGCACACACACUAGGGUGUGACUUUGUCGGGGACACACACCAGUGUGUGACUUUGUGGGGGGCACACACCAGUCUGUGACUUUGUGGGGCACACACACUAGGGUGUGACUUUGUCGGGGACACACAGCAGUGUGUGACUUUGUGGGGCACACACACUAGUCCAUUGCAGCCCUGACAGCUGAGAUGCUGGCCCUGCAGGGCCUCGGUCCUCAGAAGAGCCCCUGGUGCCUGCAGAUGGUCCUCCAUUCACCCUUGUCCUCCUGCCUGGACAGCUCCUGCUCGGGGCAGCAACAGGUGUCUGCUAACCACUCGCUUUGCUCCAGACUCUGCCCCAGAUGCUGGAUGCACAGGCAGAGCCCCUCGAUGGCACGUCAUAGACGCCACUAGAUUUACAGACUCAAGUUGUGCGACAGUCCUGCACCGAGUCUGUCAGAGCCAUUUUCCCAACAGCAUGUGCUCACUUCAUUUCUGCAUCACACUCUGCUCAUCCUCACACCAUUUGUUCAUCACUAGGAUAUUUGCUUUAUGACCCACGGUCUCUGGUCUUUGAUGUUACUAUUGAAAAAAAAUUACUACUCGCUAUUGACUCAAGACAGGCAGCAGUUUUUGGCAAUGAAGUAUUUUGUAAUGACACUUACUCCUUGGAAGGGAAGUUAUGACCAACCUAGACUGCAUAUUAAAAAGCAAAGACAUUACUUUGCUAACAAAGGUCCGUAUAGUCAAAGCUACGGUUUUUCCAGUAGUCGUGUACUGUGAGAGUUGAACCAUAAAGAAGGCUGAAUGCCAAAGAAUCGACACUUUUGAACUGUGGUGUUGGAGAAGACUCUUGAGAGUCCCUUGGACUGCAAGGAGAUCCAACCAGUCCAUCCUAAAGGAAAUCAGUCCUAAAUAUUCAUUGGAAGGACCAAUGCUGAAGCUGAAGCUCCAAUACUUUGGCCACUUGAUGUGAAGAGCUGACUCAUUGGAAAAGACCCUGA